AUAUAUAUAUAUAUAUAUAUAUAAUCUAUUUAGGAUUAUCGGGGAAAUUAUUUUGAUUUGCUAUUUUUUUUAUGCUUCGUCUUAUAUCUUUUGUAUGUCCAUUAAUACGUUGGUGUACCUGGUUGCUGGUUGGUGUAUAUAUGUAUGGUCACCAACAAGUCUACCGUGAAUUCCGAUCUGUCAUUUUUAGUAAGAUUUGUUUUUGUAACGGGGCACCCGAAUA
rnacentral:lncRNA from 1 species